UUGGAGGGCAAGUCUGGUGCCAGCAGCCGCGGUAAUUCCAGCUCCAAUAGCGUAUAUUAAAGUUGUUGCAGUUAAAAAGCUCGUAGUUGAAUUUCGGGAUUCAUCCGUUGGUCGGGCUUCACGGUCCGUACUGGUGUGAUGGGUUCCUACCUUCUGAAUAACCGGCAUGCCAUUAAUUUGGUGCGCCGGGGAAGCAGAACUAUUACCUUGAAAAAAUUAGAGUGCUUAAAGCAGGCAAGUGCCUGAAUAGGUUAGCAUGGAAUAAUAAAAUAGGACGGCAUGGUUCUAUUUUGUUGGUUUCUAGGAUCACCGUAAUGAUUAAUAGGGAUAGUUGGGGGCAUUAGUAUUCAAUUGUCAGAGGUGAAAUUCUUGGAUUUAUUGAAGACUAACUUCUGCGAAAGCAUUUGCCAAGGAUGUUUUCACUAAUCAAGAACGAAAGUUAGGGGAUCGAAGACGAUCAGAUACCGUCGUAGUCUUAACCAUAAACUAUGCCGACUAGGGAUCGGACGAUGUUAAUUUUUUAAUGACUCGUUCGGCGCCUUACGGGAAAC
rnacentral:rRNA from 1 species